AUUUAGAUGGCAGAUUUAUGCAAUAGUUUUAAAGGCUAUAUAAGGUAAGACCUCUAAAUU
rnacentral:tRNA from 1 species